GGUAUAUUAACAUUACAUGGCCUAUUAUUCUUUUUCUGUAGCUAUCAUUUAGUACAGAUGGCGUGUUUCGCUUGCUUGUUUCCUCACUGAUUGAAACCUCUCCACAUUAGAUAAUAAAAGCACAACUAAGUUGUUUUCCCAUAUAUUCAUGUGUUAAUUUUAACUUGUGUACAACUGUAACUGCAUUAUCAAUAGACUGAGUGAAUGUAUUAUUAUCCCACAGAUGACUCUGUGGUCGAUGGCAAAGUCUCCCCUUAUGUAUGGAGGGGAUGUUCGGAAGAUUGAUCCUAGCACAUAUGAUGUUAUCACAAAUCCUACCCUUUUGGAGAUUAAUUCUUUCAGCUCAAAUAACAUGGAGGCAUGUGAACCAUAUAUCUUUUUUGGGAUGGAGGGAAUAAUGUUUCUCAAAUUAAUGUCAUAUUUCUUUUGCUGCAUUGGCAGUUUCCUUAUAUCACAAGUGUGAAUAGUGAAGAUCGGGAUCUUGGUAAGCAAAUGAGAAGAAGCAGCAAAGAAAUAAAAACAACCUAUACUCAUUCAUUAGGCCUCACAAGCUGCACUGAGUCAAAGGCAAGUGGUUUGGCUAGUGGAAGUCUUAACCAAUAUCCUGAAAGACUAUGUUGGAAAAGGAGUUUAGGAAACAAGCAUCUUGCCCCCUUCUGUGUGCACAAGAGAGAACUUUACUUCCCAUUGUAAUCUUGCUUUAUCUUUCUCUGUUUUAUUUUCCUAACUUUGAUUUGAGUAUUAAUGUUGUUGACAACAGAAAUUGUGACUUUGAUACCGAUACAGUGGUGAAGUGGGUAUGUAUCAAGAGUAUCAUCACUAUCAUUUAGUUGCAACUAACAGAAUAAAAUUUUGCUUGGAUGCUUCUCCAAAACACAAGCUUACUUCUAAAGAGUUCAAGAGAGGGACAUUUUCUCCCUGCAGAUGUGGGAGUUGAACCCUAAUGGGACCCUGGUGAAAAGUUAUUCUGGCUUGUGUGCAACAGUAGAGUCUAGUGAAGUAUCCAUGAUGCAAAUUGUCCGUUUAUGAAGAUACUAUAAAUUCUGGUGGCCUGCACUCUUGGAUAGCUACAGGAAGAAAAGGAGAAGUCUACGUUGCAUUCUUCAAUCGAAGUGAAAAGAAGGCGGUAAUAUCUGCACAAACAUCAGACCUGGCAGAGACUUCAGUUCUUGUGAGUGCAGUGAAGUGAGGAGAUGCUAUAGAAAUAACUCAGGGAACGUUAUCAACGGCAGUGGAAGUGCACUAGUUGUUCUCAAUUGCAACUAGUCCAUCCCCCUUUCCCCAAAAAUAGAAGAAAAAUGGCAUUUCAGUGGCUUUCUUAAUAGUUGUGCUAGUGGGGUGAUGGCUGCUUGAGAAAACAAGUUAGUAUAUACUACUUUGUUUACUUCAAAUAACGGUGGUGUAGCUGCUCCGGCUGCUGAGAAAUAAGGAAAAAAGAAAAAAAGUAGAGGAAGACGAUGAUGAUUUGGGAUUCUCACUCUUCGAUUAGACUACUACACUUAUACUUUCUUCCUUUUUUACUUAAACAAACACCUUUAGUUUUAAGCUAAAAAAUUUGUAUUAAUUUUGCAUCAAUUAAUAAUGCUUUUGGUUCUCAAUAAUA